rnacentral:tRNA from 1 species
UGGGAUGUAGCUCAGUGGUAGAACAGCUGCCUGGUAUGUGGGAGGCCCUGGGUUCCAUCCCCAGCAGCACAC